rnacentral:rRNA from 1 species
CCUACGGGUGGCAGCAGUGAGGAAUAUUGGUCAAUGGCCGGAAGGUUGAACCAGCCAUGCCGCGUGAAGGUCAGUGCUCUAUGGGCGUUAAACUUCUUUUGUGCGGGAGCAAUAAUGGCCACGUGUGGCCAGACGAGAGUACCGUUCGAUUAAGCAUCGGCUAACUCCGUGUCUGCAGCCGCGGUAAUACGGGGGAGGCAAUCGCUAUCCGGAUUCAUUGGGUUUAAAGGUUGCGUAGUCUGUGGUGUAAUUUAGCGGUGAAAUGCCCCGGCUCACCAGGGUGAAGUGCCAUUGAUACUGGCUUGCUAGAAUGCGGAUGCCGUGAGAGGAAUGUGUGGUGUAGCGGUGAAAUGCAUAGAUAU